AUGCCGGCAGCACGCCCGUCCUGGGGCACAUGCGACCUGGUCCUGGGGCCACAUCGCCCGUCUUGGGGCACAUCUGACCAGGUCUUGGGGCCACAGCCGCCCGUCUUGGGGGCACAUCUGACCAGGUCCUGGGGGCACAUGCGACCUGGUCCUGGGGGCACAUCCGCCCGUCUUGGGGGCACAUCCGACCUGGUCUUGGGGCCACAUCCGUCCGUCUUGGGGGCACAUCCGACCAGGUCUUGGGGCCACAUCUGCCCGUCUUGGGGGCACAUCUGACCAGGUCCUGGGGGCACAUCCGCCCGUCUUGGGGGCACAUCCGACCAGGUCCUGGGGGCACAUCCGACCAGGUCCUGGGGGCACAUCCGACCUGGUCCUGGGGCCACAUCCGCCUGUCUUGGGGCACAUCCGACCGUCUUGGGGCACAUCCGACCAGGUCCUGGGGGCACAUCCGCCCGUCUUGGGGCACAUCCGCCCGUCUUGGGGCACAUCCGACCAGGUCCUGGGGGCACAUCCGACCAGGUCCUGGGGGCACAUCCGCCCGUCUUGGGGCACAUCCGCCCGUCUUGGGGCACAUCCGACCAGGUCCUGGGGGCACAUCCGCCCGUCUUGGGGCACAUCCGACCAGGUCCUGGGGGCACAUCCGCCCGUCUUGGGGCACAUCCGCCCGUCUUGGGGCACAUCCGCCCGUCUUGGGGCACAUCCGACCAGGUCCUGGGGGCACAUCCGCCCGUCUUGGGGCACAUCCGACCAGGUCCUGGGGGCACAUCCGACCAGGUCCUGGGGGCACAUCCGACCAGGUCCUGGGGGCACAUCCGACCAGGUCCUGGGGGCACAUCCGACCAGGUCCUGGGGGCACAUCCGACCAGGUCCUGGGGGCACAUCCGACCAGGUCCUGGGGGCACAUCCGACCAGGUCCUGGGGGCACAUCCGACCAGGUCCUGGGGGCACAUCCGACCAGGUCCUGGGGGCACAUCCGCCCGUCUUGGGGCACAUCCGACCUGGUCCUGGGGGCACAUCCGACCAGGUCCUGGGGGCACAUCCGACCAGGUCCUGGGGGCACAUCCGCCCGUCUUGGGGCACAUCCGACCAGGUCCUGGGGGCACAUCCGACCAGGUCCUGGGGGCACAUCCGCCCGUCUUGGGGCACAUCCGACCAGGUCCUGGGGGCACAUCCGACCAGGUCCUGGGGGCACAUCCGCCCGUCUUGGGGCACAUCCGCCCGUCUUGGGGCACAUCCGCCCGUCUUGGGGGCACAUCCCGGCGGCGCCCAGGGGUCAGCCCCGCCCCCCCGUCGUCAGCUUUCCCCUCCUCCCUCACCCCCCCCCCCCCCGCCCCCCCGGGCGCCCACUCCCCUCCCCCUCUGCCCCGCCUUCCCGCGAUAGCCCCGCCCCCCCGUCGUCAGCUUUCCCCUCCUCCCUCACCCCCCCCCCCCCGCCCCCGACAGCGGCUGGACGUGAGGCGGGGGGCGCGGUCCCCGGGGUCGUCUUGCUGAGGGUCGUGCCUCGCCGAGCGCCGGGGAUGAUGCUGGAGAGAAGCGGCGCGACCCCGCGGCCCGGCCCACGCGCUGGUACCUGCUUCCCGGGCCGCUCCCAGAGGCUGCGCCGUGGGAGCCGCGGCAGCACGUGGCGCCUCAGGAACGUGAAGGUUCUGGAAGGCUCUGGAAGGUUCUCGCGCGCCACGGGAGGCCGCCUUCGACAGGCCGCGCCGCCCGGAGGCGGGUUCACAAAGGGAGCUCGGCCGAACCCUCUCACAGGCUCGCGUGCCGGGCCGGCCGCCCUCGCCGCCCGCUACGCGCCCCUCGGCUUCGCGCCCGCGCGCCCUCCAGGCGCCCGUCAGUCACUCUGCCUCUCGUGCGCGCGCGCGCGCCCGCCUGCCCGCCCGGCUCCUGUCCGUCAACCGCGCGCUCCCGCCCAGCCAGGCGGAAGGGGCGGGGCCCGGGGCGGGUGCGUGCGCCCCAUUGGUCGGCGGCGGGGGUGGAGCUUGGCGGCGCCGCCAGGCCGGCCCCGCCCCCCGGCCCGCGGGGAGCGGCGGCUGCGGCGGCGGAGGCGGUGA
rnacentral:lncRNA from 1 species